rnacentral:rRNA from 1 species
GACGAACGCUGGCGGCGUGCCUAAUACAUGCAAGUAGAACGCUGAAGAGAGGCUCUUGCUCGUCUUGGAUGAGGUGCGAACGGGUGAGUAACGCGUAUGUAACCGGCCUUGUAGCGGGAGAUCACUAUUGGAAACGAUAUCUAAUACCGCAUAAGAAUGGGUUACACAGGGCAUUUAGUAGAAAGGGGCAAUUGCUGCACUACAAGAUGGACCUGCGUUGUAUUGGCUAGUAGGUGAGGUAAUGGAUCAUCUAGGCGUCGAUACAUAGCCGACCUGAGAGGGUGGUUAGCCACACUGGGACUGAGACACGGCCCAGACUGCUACGGGAGGCAGCAGUAGGGAAACUUCGGCAAUGGGGGGAAACCUGACCGCGCAAGGCCGCGGGAGUGUAGAAGGGUUUCGGGUCGUAAAGGUCUGUUGUAGGGCAAGAACGGGUGUUAGAGUGGAAAGCUGACACUGUGACGGUAGCGUACCAGAAAGCAACGGCUAACUACGUG